UAAAAAUCAUUCCUCGUAAUACCAAUUUUAGCGGAGCCGGUGCAGUACUUUUUCCUAGUUCUUACCUUACCGCCUGUCCUCAACAAAACUUAAUGAUCCGAUGAUCCAUCAUUCAUCAUAUAUUGCCGUCACAUCUGAGCCACUUAAAUUAGGGUUCAUCCAACCACCAACCUUUCAGAGCAAUGAAACCCUAUCCCAAAACAGUUUCAAUUUUCGACAGUAGUAUAAAGCAUAAACCUCUUCCCCUCUCCCUGUCCCUCUCAGUUUUGGGCGACCAAAGGAAAAUUUUGAAAAAAGAAAAAAAAAGAAAAAGAAGAGGCAUAUUUCAGGUUUUUGCGUGAAUCUAAUAAAACCGUGAGCCACAAAAAAUCUGGAGUGGGAGGGUGGAUUUGUUUCAUGUUAGAUUCACGCACAAACUCGUAAUCUGUCUUUUCAUCUCUCUUCCUUUUCAUCCUUUCCUUAUCGUUCCUCCAAGUCGUUGUCUGUCCAUUUUUUUUGUCCCAAAUGAAUUGCCAAUUUUUGGAGAACAAAAAGAAAAAAAUAUAUAUUAGCUGCUGUUGUGAAGCCCGCCUGCUGUGUCAAAGAAGCAGUAACGCUCUAAAAUUUCAAGGUAAUGAUGUCAAUUUUAGAUUAAAUUUGAGUAAUUACUGAAAUAGUGAGCUUGUUUUGAGGAAUUAUUCCAUCAUUUUGAUUUGUUAUGUUAGGAAAAAAACUUUAAUCAAACUAUUAUUAAAAGGAAAAGGGUUAAAAAGAGGUAAUUGAAAAAAGGGUUAGACUUUCCUAGAAGUAGUACCAGCUGAACACCAUACAAAUUCACCGCAAAUUAGGUACAUGAACUUUGUUGGAAAACUGAUAUUUUAUUUCCAUCCUCUUAUAAUCCCGGCACUGAAUUCCCUUUUCUUUGAAAGCUUGGGACAAGUCGAAGGAAGAAUUGGUUCUGAUAAUUGCCUUAAUUCAUCUUAGUUAUGUAAUUCCUCAAAAUCUUGUUGGCCUGCAGUUGGGCGUACCAUGUCACGAAAUCUUCAAAAUUUUAGGGUGUCUUUUAUACUAUCUGAAUCAUGUUCAAGUGGUUUCGGAUGAAAAUUUGUUGGUUGUACCUUUGGGAUUGUGAUUGUGAUUGGAGGAAAUAUAUAGGAAUGGAGCCAACUAGCUUCAUUGAAGUAUGGUUGGGGAUUUAAAAUUAAACCCUGAAUGGAAACUGGUACUUGUAGUAUGGUUGAUCGGUUUGGAUCCCACCUCUCUUUUCCAAGUGUUUAAGAUGCUGAGGCCACUCUUACCACUUAUGUAAAUGUUAGGGUUCAUGUGCCAGUUGUUUCUAAGAUAUUAAACAUUAAACAACUCUAGGAGGAACAUCUGGAUUAAUGCUUGGAAAGUGCAUAUCAAAGUAGAAGGGGCCAUAUUUAUAAGGGGUGUCACCAGGACCUACAAUUACUGCUUCAUAAGGACAACUCUUGUCUCGAAAUCCCUAACAAAAUAGAAUCUGGGAGGCUUUAGUCAGUGUUCUCCGUUCUUUGUUUAUCCUUCUCUCCAGAUGGCUACUAACCGCAAUGUGCUGUAAAUUGAUAAAGUAGUGAUCCUUUGGUGGAUCUUUGAUAAUAUCAAAGUUCUUGAACUCUUUGAAGUCCAUCUCGUGCCUCUUCAACAUUCUUAGCCCUGUGUUCCCACCAUUUAUCUGCAUUGACAUGUUAAGUUUUUAUUUUGAGUUGAUUGUUUUGAUGUUUGAAUAGAAUUCUAAUACCAAUAUAUAACUCAAAUUUAAUGUAAUCAGAAUGUGCAACCUGAUUGAAAUAUGUCACUUUACCCUUUUUUCCUUGGCUUGAAAAGUCAUUUUGCCUGAGCUACAUACUUUUUUUUUUUUUUUCGUAUCUGUAGUGUUUAUUUUUUGUAUCUAUAGUGUUUUGAAUCCUACAUCGUAAAGGAAAAUACUUAUUUUAUUUUAAUUUUUUUUUCUCAUAAGGAAUAUUCAUUAAUGUGCACUAACAACUCUGUUUUUUCUAUUUUGGGUGAUUUUCACCCUUUAAUGGUAUUAGUGGUUUUUUCUUUUUAAUAUCAUACAUGAUGUAACACCUAUGGUUAGCCAUUUAGGGCAAAAUUUAAUGCAAGCUCUGUCAAUAUUUCAUUAAAUGCAGAUUCUUGUCCAGGCUUAGUGCAAUUACAAAUGUGGUAGUAACUAAAAGCUAGAAAUUAAUGGUGCUGCAAGCGACAUUAAGAAAAUUUCUUCUCUGACCAUUCAUAGACUUGGUAUAAAUAGCUUAAAUAUGAACAUUUAGUUAGAAUUCCAUAACAGAUGAUGUUUGCUAUUUAGUUGCCUCAGUUUGCUUCCAGCAAUACUUUCUUCAUGCCUUAAUUUGAUGAAGAAAGCAGAAAGGUUAAACAUAUCCUGUUGUGGCUGAUUUAUUGCUGACAUUGAACACCUCGUGAUUCUCUAUUAUUGAUACCUGAAGUUAACAUAUGAAACAGGGGAGUUAUUUAUGUUCCAUGGCUGUUUCGAAUCUGUGGUUUCAGCAAAAACGGCUUCCAUAAUCUAGGGUGUUUGAGCCGUGAGGUGCUCUCAGACAUCCUGGGCUCAUGGCCUUAGCCACCCAGUAAGACUGGCUAGGUACACUGUUUCCAACCCAAAAGGGUGUUUCAAUGCAAUGCAGAAAGACUGAUGGAGCUAUGGACUAACGGUACCGGGUAGGAUUUGAGAAGGCGUUAAGCAGGUGCAGCCUAUCCAGUCUGUGACUUUCGGUUAUCCAAGUGCACAUAAGCAUGAGGCAAGUUAUUUGUAACCUUUGGGAACUGAAUUUUGGUAGGUCUUUUUUUGUGAAUUGAGGACGCUUUAUGUAGGUUCCAACAAUUUACCAGGACUCAAAUAAAGCUUAUUUCUUGGUUUAUGUUCCAACUUUAUUAAAAGCUAGUUCAUAUUCUUCUAUGCACUAGGCAAAUUUAACUGUUACCUGAUGUUUGAGUCGAAGCACCGAAAGAAAAUAUAAAUGAAAAAGAACGAGUGGGUCAGGGAGACCUACUUGCUCCAGAAAAGAUCUAUAUGGCCGGGCAAAGCAGAAUCAUAGCGACAAAGGCAUAGACAGGACAGGAUCAUUCCCUUAUGAUAUUACUGAUAUCAGCAUUGUUUCAAGAUUUGGAACACUUCCAAUGACAAAUCAACGCAUCAAAGUGGGGCAUUGCAUUAUUUAGCUUUUAUACGCAAUAUCAAGUUAAACUAAUUUAAAAUGUUAACCGUUGCCUUAAAAAAUAGCGUGUGAUAAUUUGGACAAAAAGUCUCUCAAAGUUGUGAAAUGGUUUCUCAUCGAUUUAAGAACUUGAAAAAAUAAGGCAAUGGAUUCAAAAAAUUAAAACUUGGCAUAAUACCUCAGUUGAAAUUGAGUGAGAGAAUAGCUGGCAAACUCCAUGAUGGUGAUGAUGAAGAAAUCGAAGACGAUUUUAGUUCUGAAACAAAAAUGAAUGUGGAAAGACUCAAUUCAGACCGACAAUCCGGUUAGCAAUCUAAGCCAAAUUUUCCAAUUGAGAUGCAAUCAUGCAAAAUGUGUCGGCACCAACCAAGUAGAAAGAAGGUAAUUAGCUGCAAAU